AAUCACCGGGGAAGCAUUGGGACAAGUAGCUUCACAAACAAUUGAUAAUUUGAAGGUAAUCCAAGCUGUUGUGCCCAAUACCUUUGUGAUUCGCCCGUUAAUAGGCUUAAGUAAAGAUAAAAUAAUUGAAUGAGCUAAGGCACUGGGUACCUUUGAAACUUCAAUUGAGCACCAUAUGGAUACCUGUACUGUGUUUGCUCCCAAAAAACCAACUACUAAGGCUAAGUUAGCGAUCGUUGAAAAGCUUGAGAGUGAACUUUUGUUUGUCCGUGAACUAAUUGAAGCUGGUGUCAAGAAGCUGCAAAAUGAUUAACAUCGAUCCCCAUUUUAUUCAUAACCUAACUAAUAAACUCAAGACAUUCGAUAA
rnacentral:sRNA from 1 species